rnacentral:sRNA from 1 species
UAGUAGCCCCGAUUGAAGCAAGUAUCCUUUUAAAAAUUUGUGUAAAUUUUUAUUUACUUCAAAUUUUUAAAAGAUACUGUGUAAAGCGGGAAUAGAG